rnacentral:lncRNA from 1 species
CAGGUAGCUUUAAUGGCGUGUUAUUAAAUGGAGGUUUUGAUUCGAUCAGUUUUAUAAUUCUCGUGUUUUGAAUUGCUCCCUUUCUCUCUCUUUUCCUUGAUUUGAGGGGUUAGUGAUUUCAUUUUAACACAGCACUUCUGUUAAUAAGGGCUUUGAAACUGUUUUAGGGUUUUAGAUCGUUUGAAUUAGAUGAUUUUCCAGCUCUCUCUCUCUCUUUUUCUGAUUGUAGCUUCCUUUUGUUAUUCUCCUCUCACUCUCUCUCUCUGCCUUCUCUGUCUAUUUCCUUCCUGUUAUGAAUCUGUUUCUUCAUUGUUUCCAUUAAUUAGUUGCAAACAUUCUGCUUGAUCAAUUUGUGAACACUUUUAUUUUUUUGCGUGUCUUACUGUUAUCAUUGUUUUUCUUCUAUUUUAUGCUCAUACAAUUCUCUCUAUGCAUCUACAUCAUAUCAUGAUUUACAGGUUUAAUUUGGUCCUUCUUUUUUUUUUUUUUUCCCCCUUUCAAUUCUGAAUUUUUAAGGGUUUGUUUUCCUAUAAUUUUGAUAAUCACUCAUUCUCUUUGGACAUCCUUCUGAUUGAACAGAUGAUCAAGGAAGCUAUCUUGGCAUUGAAAGAGAAGGGAGGGUCUAGCCCUUAUGCCAUUGCAAAGUUCAUGGAGGGGAAAUACAAGGCUGUGCUCCUAGGUAAUUUCAAGAAAAUGCUUGCCCUUCAGCUCAAGAACCACGCUGCAAAAGGGAAGCUCGUCAAGGUGAAAGCCUCUUAUAACCUUGUUGAAGAGGUGAAGAAAGAAGCUCCUGCAAAGAAACCCACAAAGAAGCCUGUAACUACUGCUUCAAAGAAGCCUAAGGCCCAAAAGAAGUCUGCAGCCUCUGCUCCUAAAGCUUCUUCGAAGCCAUUGAAGAAAAAGACCACAUCUGUUAAGAAAUCCCCAGCUCCUAAGAGGGCAGCACCUGCUAAGCCAAAGCAACCAAAAUCCAUUAAGUCUGUGAAGUCACCUGUGGCGAAGAAGGCGAGGAAGGUGGCUUAGGCAGUGAGAAGUUGAUAGUGCCAUGGCCGAGUCUUGUAAUAUUUGAUCUGUAAAUUCUUCUUCUUGACAUAGGAGCUUGUUUCUUUCUUCCCCUGUUCUGAAGGCUGGCUCGUCGGAUAAUGGUGGAAGUUUUUUUGAUGGAUUGUAGAUCCUAUAUGUCCAUGUUUCGAUCUAGCAGUAGCUAUGCCAAUAGAAAAAAAACUAUUAGCACUGUUCGUUAAAAAAAAAAAAAUUAGAACUGUUAAUCAACAUAACUUAUAUAGCGCUUUCUCCGUUAGUUCAUUCUCUCUUCCUUCUCUCUCCAUUAGUUCAUUCUCUCUUCCUUCUCUCUCCAUUAGUUCUUCUCUCUUCCUUCUCUCACCAUUAUUUCCUUCUCUCUUCCUUCUCUCUCCAUUAUUUCCUUCUCUCUUCCUUCUCUCUCCAUUAUUUCCUUCUCUCUUCCUUCUCUCUCCAUUAUUUCCUUCUCUUUCAUUCAUGCUUUGCUCUUGCGUUCACGUCUCUCUUGUUUUUGGGUAUUCUGAAUCUCUCUUUGCAAGGUUCCGUUUCCUCCUUUCUUUCGGUUUCGGUUGCAGGUUGCGAUCGCCCACUCUUCAACUUCGCUAUUCUUAUAGAAUGAUCCCGCUUUCCGUUUCGGUUGAUGGUUUCGAACGCCACUCUUCUCUCUCUAUUCUUAGAAAGAUGCAGUUGCUUAGGAAAUGAGCGUCGUUUUUUUUUUACCCUGGGGAAUAAGUCUUUUUAUAUGAAUAUUUGCGGUAUAUUAUUUUCUGAGUCCUACGAUUUUCUCUCUGAUAGAGUGGAUGGAUGAUGAGAAAGAUGGGUGUCAUGUUUUGAAUGGGCAUUGCCUACUUUUCAACUUCCAAUGCACAUUUCCUUCCAAAUACUUUUAUUCUUAUACUAUUCUAAAAAAUUGUAACCCAAACCAACCUAUGUUAUAUGUGGCUGUGAAAAUGUAAUUUAAUCUAACUUAUGUUAUACGGUACUUUCAAUACUGUAAAAUCAUCCAUGUUACUUUAACAUUUUAAGUUUGGUAAAAAUUAACUUAUGUUUUACGGUAUUUGAAAUGUUGUAAUUUUUUUUAUUUAUAUUUAUUUAUUUCAUAUCUCAAUCAUUUUAUGCUUAUAGUAAUUACACUAUGAGGCCCUCCAACAUUUUAUGUUUGAGACAUUACAUUAUGAGAGUAGAAUCUCAAAGGAUCAUCAUUAAAUUUUAAUGUAAAUUUUUAGAAAAGUCAUGUGAUACAGAUUCAUUAAAUUUUAAUAUAGAUCUUUAAAAGAGUUAAUGACAUGGGUGUGUGAUUUCCUACAUCUACUUUAAUAGGAUUUUAAAGGAUCAUCAUUAAAUUUUAUAGAUUUCUAGAAAAGUUAUGACAUGGGUGUGUGAUUUGGGUUGAUAAGUUUAUUGAUAAUUUUUUAAAAAUUGAAUGGUGAUAUUUUAGGGACUUAUUCGUAUUGGUGUGGGAGGGUUUUAUAGUAUUAUUAUUUUUUAUGUUUAUAUCUUUUUUCUCUCUUUUAUUUUUUUUCAUAUUUAUUUUUAUUUUUUACUUUAUUUCUUUUUUCUCUUCUUUCUUUCGCUAACUCAUUUCGAAAAGAUUUGGAUAACAACAUUUGCGUAUUUUACUUUGUUGUAUAAAAACUCCCUUCAACGCCAUGAUGAAUCAAAUUUAUAUCACGUUGGAAUUGCGUUUGUUGACGGGAUGAAGUAAGUAAAGAGAGAAAGAGAGAAAGAAGAGAUAAAAAUAAAAUAAAAAGAAAGAGCAGAUAAAUAUUAAAAAAAAUUAGAGAGAGAAAGAAGAGAUAAAAAAAUUAAAGAGAAAUAAUAGACAAAUAUUAAAAAAAAUUAACGAGAGAAAGAGGAGAUAAAUAUAAAAAGAAUAAUUAUAGAGAUGAAAGAGAUAAAUAUAAGAUCAGAUUUGUAUCACGUUGGAAUAGUGUUGGUUAAAAAAUUAAAGAGAGAGAAGUAGAGGGAGAAAUAAGAGGUAAACAUAAAAAGAAUUAGAGAAAUGAAAGAGAUAAAUAUGAGGAGAAAAUAAUUUAUUGAAUGUCAUAUAACAUGAUUUAGUUUUUACUGUACUUAAAAUAUUGUACUGUAAUUGUAUUUCACGGUAAAAAAAAAGAAAAAGACCCGAAAUUGAAAGUUUUUAAAAUACUUAAAAUACCGUACCGUAAUUGUGCUUCAUGGUAAAUAAAAGAAAGAAGCCCAAAAUUGAAGAAAAAUAGUGUGGGCUAGGUUUAUAAAAGUUUAGGAGUUUUUUUUCUUCUAAAUAGAUGAAAAUUAAGAUACAUUUGUGAUAAUUUUCCAUUAUUUUAUCUUUGGUGAAAGGAGGUCAAAAUUAUUUUUGCAUAGAUGAAAACAUGUUCACAGUAUUCGAGAUUUUAUAGCCAUUGUUAAGACUUUGCCCAUAUUGUCCUCUGAUCAUUGCCUUAUCUUACUGAAUACUGGAUUGUUAAAAGGUAGGCCAAAACCCUUUAGAUUAGAUGUGGGCUGGUUGGAGGAGAAAGAUGUUGUUGAGAUGAUUAGAGGGGCUUGAGAAAAUACCGUUGUGGAGGGUAUUUUGGAUUUUCAAUUACACAAGUUGUUGAAUAUCAAACAUAACUGAUUAUAUGGAAAAGAUAGAGCAAUUUUGAUAUUAAAGCCAAAAAUCGAUGGGGUUUUAUCUGAUAUUGAAUUAUUAGAUCAUAAUACCCAAUUGGCUGGUGUGUUAACUGAGCAAAUUAGUUUUGGAUCGUUGUUUGAAACUUAAAGGAUUUGAGGAGUUGUGUAGAGCAGGUAAAAUUUAUUGGAAGCAAAGAUCUAGAUCGAAGUGGUUAAAAGAAUGAGAUCUUAAUAUUAAAUUCCUUCAUGCGAUUGUUAGUGCAAGAAGAAGACAAAAUGAUCUCUUUAGAUUGGCCAUUCCUAGGAUCAAUUCAGAGAAUGAUUAUGCUAUAGAGGGUGCAGUUAUUAAUCACUUCAAGAGGGCAUUUACUAAAUAAGUUAAAUUUACUCCCUCUUUAAACAAAGUUCCUUUCAAAGUGUUGUCGAUGGAGAUGAAGAGUCUUUUGGAGAGAGAGGUCACUAUUGAGGAGUUGUAUAAGGUGUUUGCAAUGCUAGGGGACAAGGCGUCUGGACCUGAUGGUUUUUAGUUUUUUCUCAUAAAUUUUUGAAUUUGGUUAAAGGUGAAUUAUUGGAGUUUGUUAGAAGUUUUAUAAUUAGGAGGUAUAUUUUUAAAGGGGUAAACUCUACUUUUUUGGCAUUGCUUCCCAAAAAAUCAGUGAUUUCUAACCUAUCAGACAUUCGAUCGAUUAGUUUACUCACCUGCCUUUACACAAUUAUUGCAAAAGUUUUAGCGAAAAGAUUGAAAGUUGUCAUUUCUCUCCUCAUCUUUAGUACACAGUCAGUGCUUAUUCAAGAUCGCCAAAUUAUUGAUAGGGUGCUUGUUGCACAAGAAUGUAUUCAUGCACAAGAAUGUAUUCAUCCUAAAGUCAUGAGUAAGAAGCCUGGUAUUUUGCUUAAGCUGGAUAUGAAAAAAGCCUAUGACCGAGUAGAAUGGAGAAUUAUGUUAGAAAUUUUAAAGGUUAUGGGAUUUGGCGAUAGAUAAAGGAGCUGAAUUCUUUGAUGUCUUUCUUAAGCUUAUUUUUCGGUGUUAUUCAAGAUGAGUCCCAUUGGUUAUUUCAAUGCUUUUAGAGGUCUUCGACAAAGGGUACCCUCUUUCUCCCUUCUUAUUCACUAUCUACGCUGAAUGCUUGAGUUUAAUGUUAAGUUCGGUGGAGAGAUUGGGUCACUUUGUGGGCUUUAAGCUUUCUGAUUCUAGUAUUGUUAUUUCUCAUUUGCAAUACGUAGAUGACACUUUAAUCUUUUGUAAUGUUGACUCUCUUCAAGUUAAGAGCAUUGUUAGAUUUUUGGAAGUUUGUGAGGUCAAGCUUGGCCUUAAAGUUAAUUUUCACAAAUCUUCCAUGGUUGGAAUUAAUUGCUCAGAAGACAUGGUAGUAAAAUGGGGUGUAAAGUUGGUUCUUUCUCUGUCAUAUAUCUCGAUUUACCUAACUCUUAUUCAAGGCAUUCCAUUGAACUUUGGGAUAAAGUGCUAUAAAGUGUCCAAUUCAAACUAGAUCUUUGGAAGCACAAGUAUCUGUCGUUGGGUGGGAGGGCAACGUUGUUGAGAUCUUGUUUGGCUAACCUUCCGGUUUAUCAGAUGUCAUUGAUUAAUAUGCUCGCUUCGAUCCCAAAAAAAAUCAAAAAAAUGAUGCGAAACUUUCUUUGGGGUUCUAGUACUGAGAUGAGGAAAUUUCAUUUACUACAAAAGGAUAAAGUGUGCACCCCAAAUACGGAAGGUGGUUUGGGUAUUCAAAAUGUUAGAAUGGCUAACCAAGCUUUGAUGUGUAAAUAGUGGUGGCAUAGUCUCUAUUUACAGGAUCAUCUUUGUUACUAAGUUUUAUUGUCUAAGUAUGGGAUGAAUAGAUAUGAUGUAUGGCUUGGGGGUGGAAGAGGCAAGGAGACAUCUCAUAUGUGGAGCGCAAUAUUUAAUUCUAGACCAAUGAUUUUGGGUUACUUUAGAUGAAACUUAGGUUGUGAUGAUCAUAUUUUCUUUUGGCAUCAUAAAUGGAUUGGGGAGUACCCGUUGAAAUUUGUUUUCCCUACGUUAUUUGAGAUUGUUACUACACCUAAUUUGAAAGUCAAUAAGGCUGUAGAUAGAAGGGGUCAACUUAUUUCGUGGAAUAUUUUUUUGCCCUAUAGCCGUUUGAAUAAUAUUUUAUUUUUCCAAGGGUGUGCAUUGAUGGAGAUGUUGAAUAAGGCCUAUAUUUCGUAGAAUGCCGAGGACGAGAUGAUAUGGGAGAUAAAAAGUGACGGUGUCUUUCCAUCAAAUCGUGUUAUAAUAUUCUUUUUCACGACCAUUGGAGAUGGUCUUGUCCUCAUAUUGCUCAAAUUUGGAAAUGGACGAUCCCCUACAAAGUUCAAGUCUUUAUUUGGUUGGCUUCUCUGAAUAAGGGUUUGGGCCAUUGACAAUUUGAUCAAAAGGGGGAAAAGUUCUGUGAAAUGUGUGCUUGUUUUGCAAAUCUGAUGGUGAAACUAGUACGCAUCUAUUUAUCCAUUGUUCUUUUACAGUGAGAAUUUGGCACUGGCUGUUUGGCAUUUUAGGGAUAAAUAUUGUGCUUUCUCAAUCUGUGGAGGGGAUAGUUUCACAAUUUGCUCUAUCUCAUCUGCCUAAGAUGGAUAAGGUUAUUUGGAAAAUAGCUAUAGGUGUCAUCGUUUGGGAGGUUUGGAAGAAAAGAAAUAGAAUGACCUUUGAUGGAAAUUCUAUGCCUUUUGAUAGAAUAAUUUAUAUCAUAAUACUUUCUAUUUGGUCGUGGCUAUUAGUGACAAAAGAGAGAUGGGGUAUCUCUAAGGUAGAUGUCAUGGUUAAUCUCNNNNNNNNNNNNNNNNNNNNGAGAGAGAGUUAAGGAGAGAAAGAAGAGAUAAAAAUAAAAUAAAAAGAAAGAGUAGAUAAAUAUUAAAAAAAAUUAGAGAGAGAAAGAAGAGAAAAAAAAAAUUAUAGAGAAAUAAAAGAUAAAUAUUAAAAAAAAAUUAAAGAGAGAAAGAAAAGAUAAAUAUAAAAAGAAUAAUUAUAGAGAUGAAAGAGAUAAAUAUAAGAUCAGUUUUGUAGCACGUUGGAAUAAAGUUGGUUGAAAAAUUAAAGAGAGAGAAGGAGAGAAAGAAGAGGUAAACAUAAAAAGAAUUAGAGAAAUGAAAGAGAUAAAUAUGAGGAGAAAAUAAUUUAUUGAAUGUCAUAUAACAUGAUUUAGUUUUUAUUGUACUUAAAAUAUUGUACUGUAAUUGUAUUUCACUAUAAGAAGCUUGGUAUUCUGCUUAAGCUGGAUAUGAAAAAAGCCUAUGACCGAGUAGAAUGGAGAAUUAUGUUAGAAAUUUUAAAGGUUAUGGGAUUUGGCGAUAGAUAAAGGAGUUGGAUUUUUUGAUGUCUUUCUUAUGCUUAUUUUUCGGUGUUAUUCAAGAUGAGUCUCAUUGGUUAUUUCAAUGCUUUUAGAGGUCUUCGACAAAGGGUACCCUCUUUCUCCCUUCUUAUUCACUAUCUACGCUGAAUGCUUGAGUUUAAUGUUAAGUUCGGUGGAGAGAUUGGGUCACUUUGUGGGCUUUAAGCUUUCUGAUUCUAGUAUUGUUAUUUCUCAUUUGCAAUACAAAGAUGACCCUUUAAUCUUUUGUAAUGUUGACUCUCUUCAAGUUAAGAGCAUUGUUAGAUUUUUGAAAGUUUGUGAGGUCAAGCUUGGCCUUAAAAUUAAUUUUCACAAAUCUUCCAUGGUUGGAAUUAAUUGCUCAGAAGACAUGGUAGUAAAAUGGGGUGUAAGUUGGUUCUUUCUCUGUCAUAUAUCUCGAUUUACCUAACUCUGAUUCAAGGCAUUCCAUUGAAGUUUGGGAUAAAGUGCUUUAAAGUGUCCAAUUCAAACUAGAUCUUUUGAAGCACAAGUAUCUGUCGUUGGGUGGGAGGGCAGUGUUGUUGAGAUCUUGUUUGGCUAACCUUCCGGUUUAUCAGAUGUCAUUGAUUAAUAUGCUCGCUUCGCUCCCAAAAAAAAUCAAAAAAAUGAUGCGAAACUUUCUUUGGGGUUCUAGUACUGAGAUGAGGAAAUUUCAUUUACUACAAAAGGAUAAAGUAUGCACCCCAAAUACGGAAGGUGGUUUGGGUAUUCAAAAUGUUAGAAUGGCUAACCAAGCUUUGAUGUGUAAAUAGUGGUGGCAUAGUCUCUAUUUACAAGACCAUCUUUGGUACCAAGUUUUAUUGUCUAAGUAUGGGAUGAAUAGAUAUGAUGUAUGGCUUGGGGGUGGAAGAGGCAAGGAGACAUCUCAUGUGUGGAGCGCAAUAUUUAAUUCUAGACCAAUGAUUUCGGGUUACUUUAGAUGAAACUUAGGUUAUGAUGAUCAUAUUUUCUUUUGGCAUCAUAAAUGGAUUGGGGAAUACCCGUUGAAGUUUGUCUUCCCUACGUUAUUUGAGAUUGUUACUAGACCUAAUUUGAAAGUCAGUAAGGCUGUAGAUAGAAGGGGUCAACUUAUUUCGUGG